AGAAAGAAAAAAGAUGGAGAGCAACAGCAUCAUAGUCUUCGUCAAGCACUCCCCAUGCUGAGCGUCUCUGCUUCCGCCUCGCGAGCUCCCUCACCAUGGCCUCUUCCUCUUUUCACUUCUCCGCAACUGAAUUGGAUUUUUCUAUCCCUAGAAAAUGUAGGGACUUACAAUUUUAUCUAUAUUUGUGGGUUUAACUUAUAUUAUAUAAAGUAGAUGGACUGGAAAUGAAUUCAUUAGGGGCCAAUUCAUAAUAUCUCUCAACUCUAAGGGUGGGGUGUGGCUUCCACGACUUCCUGCACAACCGCGAAAAGUUAUCUUUAUGGAAUACUCUGGUUGUGUUUGAUUUUGGAGAAAGCUCUCGAGUUUCAUUCUAUGGCAUGCUCCAGUAAAUGCUCAACUUCUUUUUAUGGAAUGGAUGAGUUGAGAAUGGCUAAUCAGUAUGAAUAGCUUGCCGUUGCCGGCUGGGGUUGCGCAUCUCCAAGAGAUUGAGAAUGGUUGAUAUCCAGAUUUUUGAUUGCAUCUCAUCUUCGAAUACCAGCUUUAUAAUACCGUUCUUAGUCUUCAGACACAGCAAAGAGUUCCCCUGGUGCUCCGUCCUCUCCUCACUAAUGUUGGUGA